AACUCAGGAAACCUGUUUUCCCUGCCCCUGAGUCUCUCCUCCGCCCUGGCCGUGGUCUUCCUGGGAACAAACGGAGACAAGUCUGCCCAGAUGGCCCAGAGGUGUGUACCCAUCACACAGGAAGAACCAGCUCUCCUGGCCUGAAUAAGUCUGCUACACUGGGUCUCAGCUGGGGGCCACUCUCCCCCCUUGAAGGCAAGUGGCGAUCUCCGGAGUCAUUUUUGGUUGUCAUAAUUCAGGGAAGUGCAACUGGUAUCUAGUGGGCGGAUGCUAACCGGCCUGGUCUCGCAGAGGCAGCAGUGAGUGGCGGCGUGAAGCGAGACCUUGAUUCCCUGCCCAGGAAUUGAACCUGGGGGGCCUGGAUGGAAACCAGGAAUCCCAGCCACCAGACCCCCUGGCUCUUGCCCCAAGUGAAAAAGGCAUUUCUCACGGAGGCAAAAACUGCAAAAACAGGAACCCACCAAGUCUUCAGUACGGAGAUCUGUUUGGAGGUUGCUCUUUGGGGGAUUAGCGGGCGAUGCUCAAAGCCGGUGGUGGUAUUUUCUGUUAACAAAGGUGGAGACGGUCACCAAGGUCCCCAUCAUUUCUCAAUGAAGUUAACAAACGCAACACGCAGCGUUUUCUUAGAACUGCUGACUGGCUCUGUGAAGCAAGUACGUGGAGUUGCUGUCGGGAAGUAGUGUUCACACAUUCCUGAAAAGGAAAACAAAAGAAGAGAAGAGAAUGAAGUAAUACUCUACUGCCUUAAGCAUGUACUUAGAGAUACACAUCUGCAACUAUAAUUUUGAAUUUUAAUAUUGUUUCUCAACUAUGUCGUCUCUUUUUUUUUUAUUGUUUCUGUCUCCCUGGUAUCAAUCCCAAUAUGUCCAUCCUCCUGCACCCAAACCUGCGUCUCCCCCUUGACUCCCUGUCACCCACCGUGCUGUAGAAGGACCACCCUGGAUCCCCCCCAAUCUUACCUCAGUUGUUGGGCAGGUUCCCCGCCAAGAUGUCGUAAAUGUGCCCCCUUCUGAGCUGCACUGCUACUGCCUGGAUUCAGAGUCUCACUGUACCUUCUCCACUACCAUUUUAACUGCUUCUUAACUGGUCUCUCCAGGUCCAGUCUGGUCCUCUCCUGUGUCUCAUAAAUCCACACUCUGACAGAAUAGUCUUUCUAAAUAAAAAUCUCUUCAUGAAA